GCUAUUGGUUUUUAAGUUUAAAAGAUGGUUCUUGCUAUCACUAAGAGAUGGUCCCGCGUGUAUUAGUUAGUUGGUGAGGUAAUGGCUCACCAAGACAAUGAUACAUAGCCGAGUUGAGAGACUGACCGGCCACAAUGGGACUGAGACACGGCCCAUACUCCGUACGGGAGGCAGCAGUAGGGAUCUUCCACAUGGACGAAAGUCUGAUGGAGCAACGCCGCGUGUGUGAUGAAGGGUUUCGGCUCGUAAAACACUGUUGUAAGAGAAGAAUGACAUUGAGAGUAACUGUUCAAUGUGUGACGGUAUCUUACCAGAAAGGAACGGCUAAAUACGUG
rnacentral:rRNA from 1 species